AAAAAAACAACUUUAUGGAAUUCAAAGAAUUAGUGCUCUACUACAGGAAAGUGUCAGGGUACAAAGCAAGAGGAAAACCAAGACAGACCUGGAUCCAGGAUGUGAAGGAUACCCUGAGAACAUUCAAUAUCCCACCAAGCCAGGCCAUCAAACUUGCUAGAGACAGGAAGCUCUUUUUCCUCUCGACGCCCAAGAGGUACAUGAGGACGGAUACAGUAAAGUAAAAUCAUUUUGAAGGCGGGUUGCUGUGACCCUGCCUGCCAGACCAAUCCGAGCUGAGAGGGAUACAACGUCCCAGCAGACAGGCUGAUAUAUUCGAUAAGGAAACUCCCCACAUGGAAAUGGAAAUCACGCCCUCUGCGUGCGUCGGCGCAGUGUCUAACUGCUACACCACAGACGCUGAUGUAAAGAUGCACACUACUAUAGGCACUAGAUACAGUGCGCCCCUCUCUCGCCUUGAUGCGCUAUGGCCACAUUCGACAGCGGCUUUCCCCGUGCUUUUUGUGGCAAGCUGUGUGAAGGAGUUCAUGCUAAAGCAAUGGGCCAGGCCAUUGACGAUGUAAUGAAGGAAAACAGAAAUCACCGAACUGUAUGACAGAAGCAGUGUUGAGUUGUUAAAAUCCAUUUGUGCAAAAGAAAAAGAUAGCAAGCUCAGCACUAAUCGCAGUCUGGCUAUGGUUUCCUUUGUCACUAAUAUAUCCUAUACAUUACAUCAUACAUUUUAGACACGAUGAAGGUUACAAUAGCAGCCUAUCUUUGGUUGCUCCCAUCCAUCAUCAUCCAAUAAAAAUAUCAUUGCUGAUACUUUUAUAUUAAUAUGAUUGUUCUUGUUUAAUAUCCUAAAUCAGUGAGUCAAGUGAGUGAAACUAGUACCUCAGAUUAGUAGAUCUAGCUUGAAUCUUGUGAUGCUAAAAAUAAGUAAUUAAAUACAAAAGCGAGGCAAAAUUGCAGAGCUUUGAUCUUAUAUUAAUUAACUGAA